rnacentral:rRNA from 1 species
UACGAAGGGGGCUAGCGUUGUUCGGAAUUACUGGGCGUAAAGCGCGUGUAGGCUGCUCUGCAAGUCGGGUGUGAAAGCCCUGGGCUCAACCUAGGAAGUGCACUCGAAACUGCGGAGCUGGAGUCCUGGAGAGGAAGGCGGAAUUCUCGGUGUAGAGGUGAAAUUCGUAGAUAUCGAGAGGAACACCGGUGGCGAAGGCGGCCUUCUGGACAGUGACUGACGCUGAGACGCGAAAGCGUGGGGAGCAAACAGG